CAGUCGCCGCGGGAAUACGUAGGUGGCAAGCGUUGUCCGGAAUUAUUGGGCGUAAAGGGCUCGCAGGCGGUUUCUUAAGUCUGAUGUGAAAGCCCCCGGCUCAACCGGGGAGGGUCAUUGGAAACUGGGAAACUUGAGUGCAGAAGAGGAGAGUGGAAUUCCACGUGUAGCGGUGAAAUGCGUAGAGAUGUGGAGGAACACCAGUGGCGAAGGCGACUCUCUGGUCUGUAACUGACGCUGAGGAGCGAAAGCGUGGGGAGCGAACAGGAUUAGAUACCCGCGUAGUCCCUGUCUCUUAUCA
rnacentral:rRNA from 1 species